AUUGAACGCUGGCGGCAGGCCUAACACAUGCAAGUCGAGCGGAGCGGCGGACGGGAGAGUAAUGCCUAGGCAUCUGCCUGGUAGUGGUGGAUAACGUACGGAAACGGGCGCUAAUACAGACUACUAUCAGAUGAGCCUCGGUCGGAUUCGCUAGUUGGUGGGGUAAAGGCCUACCAAGGCGACGAUCCGUACCUGGUCUGAGAGGAUGAUCAGUCACACUGGAACUGAGACACGGUCCAGACUCUUACGGCAGGCAGCAGUGGGGAAUAUUGGACAAUGGUCGAAAUCCUGAUCCAGCCAGGCCGCGUGUGUGAAGAAGUUCUUCGGAUUGUAAAGCACUUUAAGUUGGGAGGCGUUACCAACAGAAUAAGCACCGGCUAACUUCGUGCCAGCAGCCGCGGUAAUUC
rnacentral:rRNA from 1 species